rnacentral:rRNA from 1 species
UACAGAGGUCCCAAGCGUUGUUCGGAUUCAUUGGGCGUAAAGGGUGCGUAGGCGGCGCGGUAAGUCGGGUGUGAAAUCUCGGAGCUUAACUCCGAAACUGCAUUCGAUACUGCCGUGCUUGAGGACUGGAGAGGAGACUGGAAUUUACGGUGUAGCGGUGAAAUGCGUAGAUAUCGUAAGGAAGACCAGUGGCGAAGGCGGGUCUCUGGACAGUUCCUGACGCUGAGGCACGAAGGCCAGGGGGAGCAAACGGGG